rnacentral:rRNA from 1 species
GAUGAACGCUGGCGGCGUGCCUAAUACAUGCAAGUCGAGCGAAGCGGGGACGGGUGAGUAACACGUGGAUACCCUCCUCUAACACUGGGCUAACUUCUGGAAACAGGUGCUAAACCGGCUACUUAUAGAUGGAUCCGCGCUGCAUUAGCUAGUUGGUAAGGUAACGGCUUACCAAGGCAACGAUGCAUAGCCGACCUGAGAGGGUGAUCGGCCACACGGGAACUGAGACACGGUCCAGACUCCUACGGGAGGCAGCAGUAGGGAAUCUUCCGCAAUGGGCGAAAGCCUGACGGAGCAACGCCGCGUGAGUGAUGAAGGUCUUCGGAUCGUAAAACUCUGUUAUUAGGGAAGCGGUACCUAAUCAGAAAGCCACGGCUAACUACGGGCCAGCAGCCGCGGUAAUAC